AUGCAUUGGUCUGAGAAGCCUAUCAGUUGGAGCAGAGCUGACCACCCGGAGGUGAUGCCCUCUCCUGGAUCUUAUGCUUUGGUCUUGGACGCCACCUUUGCAACCGAGAGGCGGGCUGCUCGCUUCUUCCGAGUUCUGAUAGAUGGCGGCAACAGCAUCAACAUCCUGUACCGAGAUACUAUGGAGAAACUAGGAAUCAAACAGAGGCAGCUUCAGCCCAGUCGGACUGUAUUCCAUGGCAUAGUUUCUGGCCUUUCCUGCUCACCAAUCGGUAAGACACAGGUAGAUGUCCUCUUCGGGGACAAAGAUCACUUCCGCCGAGAGCCAGUCUGGUUUGAAGUGGUGGACCUUGAGAGCCCCUACCAUGCGCUACUUGGCCGACCUGCUCUGGCCAAGUUCAUGGCGGUCCCCCACUAUGCUUACCUCAAGAUGAAGAUGCCGAGCACCAAGGGAAUCCUGACCAUAGUCGGAGACUACAAGAAGUCGUCCGCCUGUGCAGCAGACAGCAGCCGGCUGGUCGAGUCCCUCGUGAUCGCGGCAGAGAAACGGCUCCUUGACCGGGUUGUGGCCAUGGCAGGCAAGCAGCCGGAAAUGUCACCCAACCCCAAGGAGUCGGAAGCUGAGGGCUCGUUCAAGCCGGCGAAAGAAACAAAGAAUAUACCCUUGGACCCGGAGCACCCGGAGAGGCACGCUGUCAUAGGUGCUGACCUUGACAGCAAAUAG
rnacentral:rRNA from 1 species